GCGAUAUUUAGUGUAAGCAUGUUCCAAACACUGCAGAUUAUUUGCUAAAUCUGGCAGCCUUACAUGGGAGUACCUGGGGGAAGCAUACAGCAGCAGAGGGACAGCAAGUUCAAGGGCAAGGUUUCUGAAAAACAUCAUACUGUCGAUAUUACCAGUGACUAUGACAACAUCAAGCCAAGGACAUGGAGAAACUGCCCUUUCUGAAUCCAAUCACGUGUGGUGCCAGGUCCUGAUCAACGCUCCAGACCUCCUUUGCACCGCUCACAAUCCUGCUCCCUUCGCUCUGGGCGUACUGGCUGCCUUUCAGUUUCCUAGAAAAGCCGAGCUCGCCCCUGACUCAGGGCCUUAGCAUGAGCUAUUUCUCAACCUGACCAUGCCUCCCUCUUUGCCCAAGUAACUUCUCCUGCUGAAAGUUGGAGGCCUUUCCCUAGCCCCCAGUCUAAAUAAAGUCUGGCCUCAAAUCUAA